GCCGAAUACAACAGGUGUAGUAGACCUUACAGUGAAAUGCUUACUUACAGGCCCUAACCAACAGUGCAAUUUUUAAGUAGAAAAAUAGGUAUUAGGUGAACAAUAGAUAAAGUAAGGAAAUAAAAAACAACAGUAAAAAAAAAAAAAAAACAGUGAAUAACAGUAGCGAGGCUAUAUACAGGCACCGGUUAGUCGGGCUAAUUGAGGUAGUAUGUACAUGUAGAUAUGGUUAAAGUGACUAUGCAUAUAUGAUAAACAGAGAAUAGCAGUAGUGUAAAAGAGGGGUUGGCGGGAGACAAUGCAGAUAGUCCGGGUAGCCAAUGUGCGGGGGCACCAGUUAGUUGGGCUAAUUGAGGUAGUUGGUACAUGACACACACACAGUGCAAAUAGUCCGGGUAGCCAUUUAAUUACCUGUUCAGGAGUCUUGGGGGUAAAAGCUGUUGAGAAGCCUUUUGGCCCUAGACUUGGCACUCCGGUACCACUUGCCAUGCGGUAGUAGAGAGAACAGUCUAAGACUGGGGUGGGUGGGGUCUUUGACAAUUUGUAGGGCCUUCAUCUGAUACCGCCUGGUGUAGAGGUCCUGGAUGGCAGGCAGCUUUGCCCCAGUGGUCUACUGGGCCGUUUACACUACCCUCUGUAGUGCCUUGCGGUGGGAGGCCGAGCAGUUACCAUACCAGGCAGUGAUGCAACCAGUCAGGAUGCUCUCGAUGCUGCAGCUGUAGAACCUUUUGAGGAUCUCAGGACCCAUGUCAAAUCUUUUUAGUUUCCUGAAGUGGAAUAGGCUUUGUCGUGCUCUAUUUAUGACUGUCUUGGUGUGUUUGGACCAUUCUACCCUGUCGAUGAGAAUGGGGGCUUGCUCGGUCCUCCUUUUCCUGUAGUCCACAAUCAUCUCCUUAGUCUUGGUUACGUUGAGGGAUAGGUUGUAUUUCUAGAACCACCCGGCCAGGUCUCUGACCUCCUCCCUAUAGGCUGUCUCGUUGCUGUUGGUGAUCAGGCCUACCACUGUUGUGUCGUCUGCAAACUUAAUGAUGGUGUUGGAGUCGUACCUGGUCACACAGUUGUGGGUAAACAGGGAGUACAGGAGGGGACUGAGCACCCCUGAGGGGCUCCAGUGUUGAGGAUCAGCGUGGCAGAUGUGUUGCUACCUACUCUCACCACCUGGGGGUGGCCCAUCAGGAAGUCCAGGAUCCAGUUGCUGAGGGAUGUGUUUAGUCCCAGGGGCUUUAGCUUAGUGAGGAGCUUUGAGGGCACUAUGGUGUUGAACGCUGAGCUGUAGUCAAUGAACAGCAUUCUUUGGAGUGGGUCGAGGGUUUCUGGGAUGAAAGUGUUGAUAUGAGCCAUGAUGUCAUGGUUCCUCCUGGCGGCAGAAACCGCCCUAGAGACGUUUAUUGGACUCAGGUGUGUCUUAUUAGUUC
ensembl:lncRNA